AGAUCUUUAAAAAGAUUUGACCCAGGGGUGCCUCUUCGAAUCCUACUCUUUGGGAAGGGCCGGAUUCGAUUGUGUCUUUCCUUAUUACAACUUUCAUUUAUAAGACAAUCAAGCCUUUGACUGAGCUUUAAUUAAGGAUACUGAAUAUUUGCUGGCAAUAACUCCUUGAUUGGUAAUCUGAUUUUCUUGAUUGAGGCCGAGUAGAUCUGCACGCUUUUGAUUCCUUCUUCAGGUUCAUUUUUCUGUUGUUGAAGAUUGCUUGCCAUUAGCAGAGGAGAAGUUUAGGCAAGCGAUUAAAACGAACUAUUACACGAGGACAAAGUUUGAUUGCAAAUUGACCUUAACAGGUGAAGGACUUGUGCAAGCUUUUCAUUUAUGCUAGCGAAGAGUCCGGGUCCAAGGAGUCGGGUGCACAACUCAAAUCAGAGACCAGUGCUAUGGACAAGAGGGGCAGAAUUACGGGAAAGCAUAUGAAUAAAAAGAGACAAUCUGAACGUGCUCGACAAGCUACGUGGGUGGAAGAGUCUAGGUACCAUGCAUAUCCACGUCUGCACAGAAGUAAUGUAGUUACAACUGCACCAGUGUCAUUAGCUUUGCCUCAAUAUUUACUACCAUCUGCUACUGGUCAAUCACAUAACAGAACUUUGGGAAUAGGUGUUCAUGGACGGAACACAAUGACACAGAGUCAUGAUUCUUACAGAGAGGUGCAACUGGUGGAGCCUCAUGAUGCUUAUAGGAGGGACAUACUGCUAAAGAAUCCUGAUAUUUACAGAAGUGAGGCUCUAGCAAUAGAGCAUUGUGAUUAUUCCAAACGAGAUGGAUUAGUAGGGCAUCAUUAAUAUCAACCAGUAAAUUUGGAGACAAGGCACCAAGAUGUUGUAAACCUUUAUCCGUAUGCUUUAUAUCAUGAGCAUUUGUCAUACCAGGAUCCUGUGCACCCGCCAGGCAGACAUCCCAAUUAUAACCCUCCUGCAGACCUACAACCUAAAUACCAUCUUGGUGGUCUAUCAACUGAGUAUAGUUCUACCAGAGGCACGGCUCCUGAUUACCAUUCAUCUGCAAAUUCUCUCCCCGAGUUUCACUAUCAUCAACAUGUAUACUGAUAUUAUAUUCUGUCAAAGGUAGCAGUACCAAGUGGCGAAUCUUUCUCUCAACUCUUUUAUAAGGCCAGAAUUGCAGCUUGUUCUCUCACCGCGCAUAGGGGGACAUUACAUGAACAUGAGCCGAGCUGAGCAUAGAAUUGAAGUUUAAACACAGAAUUUAGUGAUCUAACAAUAAUUUUUCUUUUAAGGUCAGUGCAUACAUUUUGUUGAAGUUGUUGAUCCUAGUUUUGAAACUUUUGGAAAAGCUAGACGAACUCAACUCGCAACAAACUGUUUUUCAACCGUGCUGAAAGUUCUUGAAUUGUCAGUCCCACCAAAGGGGUAUCAAAUUUCCAUUUUGAUUGACAUUAUAUUAUUGGUGGAAAAUGUUUAGCUUUGAGGAUAUUUUGAGAUGAGGCUUUCCUUUGCUCA